CGACGCCGCGUGGAGGAUGAAGGUCUUCGGAUUGUAAACUCCUUUUUGAGGGGACGAAAAAAAAUGACGGUACCCUUAGAAUAAGCCACGGCUAACUACGUGC
rnacentral:rRNA from 1 species